rnacentral:rRNA from 1 species
UUUUUGGAGAGUUUGAUCCUGGCUCAGGACGAACGCUGGCGGCGUGCCUAAUACAUGCAAGUCGAGCGAA